GACAGAGAGAAGACAAGCGUUUUGUGGAGAAAACGGAAUUGCCUGCAGAACUCUGGAUUGGUGUGAAAUCCUGAACUUUAGUGAGCAGGAGAUGAGUCGGGUUCAUCUAACACCAACAAACAUGCGACAGCCGCAGGGCCUUUCACCCUGGCUAAAUACCAGAUGAAUUAAAGGCUGCCGCUGUGGGCAACUGUGAUGAAUGUCAACGGGGAUGUGCCCUGAUUGCUCUCACAGUGCUAUGAGUGAAGAAUGUCGGCUCCUUCUUUGUUAAGGCCAUCACAUCUCCGUUUCUGGUUUCAUCUGGAGAUGGCUGGGCCAGACGGGCCCAAACAAGAGCUUGGUUGCGAGGACUCAUGGAGCCCAGGGGCAGAUUGUUUUCAGUUCACCAAAGCCCUAGUAAUCAAGGGAAACAGUCUACUCAACGUGGAAGAAUUUGAUAACAGAUCAAUGAAAUCAUUGCAUCAUAAAACGGCAGCUAGGAGGGCCCUCAGGGGCUCUCUGGUGCCACCUCCUCAUUUUACAGAUAAUCAAGGUCUCAGAAGCUGUGACCUGCGUCAAGGCUGCACAAGGAGGGUGAAGGGUGUGAUCUGAACACAAGUUCUGGGACUCCACAGUACCACUUUCCUCCCUAACCACAGAUCUUUUGAUCUUUUGAAAUUUUGAAAUAAGUAUUGCAU
rnacentral:lncRNA from 1 species